rnacentral:rRNA from 1 species
CACCCCGCUGAAACUUAAGCAUAUCAAUAAGCGGAGGAAAAAGAAACCAACAGGGAUUGCCCCAGUAACGGCGAGUGAAGCGGCAAGAGCUCAAAUUUGAAAUCUGGCCUCCCUUGGGGGGUCCGAGUUGUAAUUUGUAGAGGAUGCUUCGGGUGUGGCCGCCGUCUAAGUUCCUUGGAACAGGACGUCGUAGAGGGUGAGAAUCCCGUCUUGGGCGGCCGGUCCGCGCCCGUGUGAAGCUCCUUCGACGAGUCGAGUUGUUUGGGAAUGCAGCUCUAAGCGGGUGGUAAAUUUCAUCUAAAGCUAAAUACUGGCCGGAGACCGAUAGCGCACAAGUAGAGUGAUCGAAAGGUUAAAAGCACCUUGAAAAGGGAGUUAAACAGCACGUGAAAUUGUUGAAAGGGAAGCGCUUGCGGCCAGACUCGAGGGGCGGGGUUCAGCGGGUGCGCGUCACCCGUGCACUCCCCGUCCCCCCGGGCCAGCAUCAGUUUCGACGGCCGGUCAAAGGCCCCCGGAAUGUGUCGUCUCUAGGGACGUCUUAUAGCCGGGGGUGCAAUGCGGCCCGCCGGGACUGAGGAACGCGCUCCGGCUCGGAUGCUGGCGUAAUGGCCGUAAGCGGCCCGUCUUGAAACACGGACCAAGGAGUCUAACAUCCACGCGAGUGUUCGGGUGUCAAACCCGUGCGCGCAGUGAAAGCGAACGGAGGUGGGAGCCCUAGGGCGCACCAUCGACCGAUCCUGAAGUCUUCGGAUGGAUUUGAGUAGGAGCGUGGCCGUUGGGACCCGAAAGAUGGUGAACUAUGCCUGAAUAGGGUGAAGCCAGAGGAAACUCUGGUGGAGGCUCGCAGCGGUUCUGACGUGCAAAUCGAUCGUCAAAUUUGGGGCAUAGGGGGCGAAAGACUAAUCGAACCAUCUAGUAGCUGGUUCCUGCGAG